UAGCCUACGGGAGGCAGCAGUGGGGAAUAUUGCACAAUGGGGGAAACCCUGAUGCAGCAACGCCGCGUGGGUGAAGGAGCACCCCGGUGCGUAAAGCCCUAUCGGCAGGGAAGAAAAGCGAACAGGUUCGCCUGGACGGUACCUGACUAAGAAGCCCCGGCUAACUACGUGCCAGCAGCCGCGGUAAUACGUAGGGGGCAAGCGUUAUCCGGAUUCACUGGGUGGAAAGGGAGCGUAGACGGCG
rnacentral:rRNA from 1 species